AGUGAACGCCGGCGGCGUGCUUAACACAUGCAAGUCGAACGAGAACGGAUUAUAGCUUGCUAUAAUUGUCAGCUAAGUGGCGCACGGGUGAGUAAUGUAUAGGUAAUAUGCCUCUUACUAAGGGAUAACAAAUGGAAACGUUUGCUAAUACCUUAUACUCCUUAUUAACAGAAGUUAAUAAGGGAAAGAUUUAUUGGUAAGAGAUUAGCCUGUAUUGUAUCAGUUAGUUGGUGGGGUAAUGGCUUACCAAGACUAUGACACAUAACUGGUUUGAGGUGAUGAUCAGUCACACUGAAACUGAGACACAGUCCAGACUCCUACGGGAGGCAGCAGUGGGGAGUAUUGCACAAUGGACGAAAGUCGUAUGCAGCAACGCCGCGUGGAGGAUGACACAUUUCGGUGCGUAAACUCCUUUUAUAUGAGAAGAUAAUGACGGUAUUAUAUGAAUAAGCACCGGCUAACUCCGUGCCAGCCGCCGCGGUAA
rnacentral:rRNA from 1 species